UUCUAUCUUGAGGUUUUGUGAAC
rnacentral:snRNA from 1 species